AUUGAACGCUGGCGGCAUGCCUUACACAUGCAAGUCGAACGGCAGGAAGGGAGCAAUCCUGGUGGCAAGGGGCGAACGGGUGAGUAAUACGUCGGAACGUGCCCAGUAGUGGGGGAUAGCCCGGCGAAAGCCGGAUUAAUACCGCAUACGACCUACGGGUGAAAGCGGGGGAUCGCAAGACCUCGCGCUAUUGGAGCGGCCGAUGGCAGAUUAGCUUGUUGGUGGGGUAAAAGCCUACCAAGGCUACGAUCUGUAGCGGGUCUGAGAGGACGACCAGCCACACUGGGAAUGAGACACGGCCCAGACUCCUACGGGAGGCAGCAGUGGGGAAUUUUGGACAAUGGGCGCAAGCCUGAUCCAGCCAUGCCGCGUGCGGGAAGAAGGCCUUCGGGUUGUAAACCGCUUUUGUCAGGGAAGAAACGAUCCGAUCUAAUACAUUGGAUUAAUGACGGUACCUGAAGAAUAAGCACCGGCUAACUACGUGCCAGCCGCCGCGGUAAAAC
rnacentral:rRNA from 1 species